UGGGCUCGAAAUGCAGGAGACCGGGGUAGAAAUAUCCUUUUCUCGCAAGAGACUGCUGUAUAGGUGCUGCAUGGCUGUCGUCAGCUCGUGUCGUGAGAUGUUGGGUUAAGUCCCGCAACGAGCGCAACCCUCAUCCCUAGUUGCCAUCGGGUCAAGCCGGGCACUCUAGUGAAACCGCCCCGGAUAACGGGGAGGAAGGUGGGGAUGACGUUCGUCUGAC
rnacentral:misc_RNA from 1 species